rnacentral:rRNA from 1 species
GUAAACGGCGGCCGUAACUAUAACGGUCCUAAGGUAGCGAAAUUCCUUGUCGGGCAAGUUCCGACCUGCACGAAUGGCAUAAUAAUGGCCACACUGUCUCCUCCCGAGACUCAGUGAAAUUGAAAUGUUUGUGAUGAUGCAAUCUCCCCGCGGCUAGACGGAAAGACCCCAUGAACCUUAACUGUAGCUUUGCAUUGGACUUUGAACCGAUCUGUGUAGGAUAGGCGGGAGGCUUUGAAGAAUGGACGCCAGUUCAUUCGGAGCCGUCGUUGAAAUACCGCCCUGAUUUGUUUGAGGUUCUAACCUGGGCCAGUGAUCCUGGCUGGGGACCGUGCAUGGUGGGCAGUUUGACUGGGGCGGUCUCCUCCUAAAGGGUAACGGAGGAGUGCGAAGGUACGCUAAUCACGGUCGGAAAUCGUGAGGAUACUGCAAUGGGAAAAGCGUGCCUGACUGCGAGACAGACAAGUCGAGCAGAUGCGAAAGCAGGUCAUAGUGAUCCGGUGGCUUCUGUAUGGAAGGGCCAUCGCUCAACGGAUAAAAGGUACUCUGGGGAUAACAGGCUGAUACCGCCCAAGAGUUCAUAUCGACGGCGGUGUUUGGCACCUCGAUGUCGGCUCAUCUCAUCCUGGGGCUGUAGCCGGUCCCAAGGGUAUGGCUGUUCGCCAUUUAAAGAGGUACGUGAGCUGGGUUUAAAACGUCGUGAGACAGUUUGGUCCCUAUCUACCGCGGGCGCUGGAAGAUUGACAGGGGCUGCUCCUAGUACGAGAGGACCGGAGUGGACGCACCUCUGGUGUAUCGGUUGUGACGCCAGUCGCAUUGCCGAGUAGCUAUGUGCGGAAGAGAUAACCGCUGAAAGCAUCUAAGCGGGAAACUUGCCUGAAGAUUAGUCUUCCCGGAGGCUUGACCUCCCUGAAGGGUCGUCCGAGACCAGGACGUUGAUAGGCCAGGUGUGGAAGCGCUGUGAGGCGUGAAGCUAACUGGUACUAAUUGCCCGUGCGGCUUGAUCCU